UACGUAGGGUGCGAGCGUUAAUCGGAAUUACUGGGCGUAAAGCGUGCGCAGGCGGUUCGUUGUGUCGGCGGGGAAAGCCCCGGGCUUAACCUGGGAAUGGCCGUCGAAACUGGCGAACUGGAGUGUGGCAGAGGGGGGUGGAAUUCCGCGUGUAGCAGUGAAAUGCGUAGAGAUGUGGAGGAACACCGAUGGCGAAGGCAGCCCCCUGGGUCAAAACUGACGCUCAUGCACGAAAGCGUGGGGAGCAAACAGG
rnacentral:rRNA from 1 species